rnacentral:tRNA from 1 species
UCCCUAGUAGCUCAAAUGGUAAAGCAUCUGCCUUCAAUGCCAGGAAACCUGGGUUCAAUCCCUAGGUUGGGAA